rnacentral:rRNA from 1 species
AGGGUUCGAUCAUGCUCAGGAUGAACGCUGGCGGCGUGCCUAAUACAUGCAAGUCGAACGCUUUGUGGUUCAACUGAUUUGAAGAGCUUGCUCAGAUAUGACGAUGGACAUUGCAAAGAGUGGCGAACGGGUGAGUAACACGUGGGAAACCUACCUCUUAGCAGGGGAUAACAUUUGGAAACAGAUGCUAAUACCGUAUAACAAUGACAACCGCAUGGUUGUUAUUUAAAAGAUGGUUCUGCUAUCACUAAGAGAUGGUCCCGCGGUGCAUUAGCUAGUUGGUAAGGUAGUGGCUUACCAAGGCGAUGAUGCAUAGCCGAGUUGAGAGACUGGUCGGCCACAAUGGGACUGAGACACGGCCCAU